UACAGAACUAAAAAAACUUCCCAUGAUAUAGUGGCAAAGUGUUCUACCAAAUCUCAUUUGGUCCAAAGUCUUCUGUGGACAAAUUUCCUUUUGCCUAAAUUGGUUUAAGUCCAUGAGCUAAGGCUGAUUCAGUUAUCUGAGCUAGGUUCUGAGUCACUUUUAAAGCUCUAUGAUGGACAAGCUGAGAAUUUCACCUAGGAUCAGAUCUCCUUGAAACACUUUGAGCUCCUGCAUUUUUAUAUCAUUCAGUCAGGCAUUCGUUCACAGAGUCAGUCAACAAAUAUUUCCUUGCAUGCCUCCCAUGUGCCAGACACUGUACUAGGUGAGGGAGGCACAGGCAAACAAGACAGACAGGAUUCUUGGGCUUCUGAAGUCUACAUGUGAAAGGGAGACAGACGGUCAACAAGGAAAAGGUACAUAAAGAAGCACAGUAAUUGCAGAGCAUGAUUAAGGGCUGUGAGAAAAUGCAACAGCAGCACGCGUUGUGUUGAUGGUGAGAGGGACCAUCAAGUCACUGGGGGGAGGAACCCUCCCUGGGAAGGCAACACUUGACCUGAGGCCACAGUGACCAAAAGAAGCCAGCAGAACCACAGUGAGACUUUAGAGACCUUAAACACAAGGAGAUUCGGUGGCCUCCCUCCUCCCCCUACCCGCAAGCAAUUAAAAAUUGUAAAAGCCAACCAAGGUUUCAAAUACGUGCAAAGAAUGUCAACAAAGUUCUGCUUCCCCCACCUUCACCCCAUAAGAACUACUUGAAUACUUUUGGGGAAAUAUCUUAAAUUCAUUCCAAAAUAUUUUCCCAUUUUUCUUUGCCAGUUCUCCAAAUAUACAUUUAAUCUGUUCGCUGACUUAGCACUUGGAACCUUCCAGGCAAAAAUCCAAGGAAAGAGGAUUCCAGAAAGAAAGAAGAGCAAAUGCAAAGACUCUGACAGGAGAACUUGGUAUGGGUGUCCUGAGAGUCAAAUACAGGGUUACUGGAGCAUGGCCAUGCCUGUUCUACAUUUCUGUGACUACUUUCACAGCCUCGAGGGUGACCAUCUCCUUAAACUUGGUUUCAUCAGACAAGUGGCUUGCUUCACCCAGCGCAGAGCAUUUUGGGGGCACAACAGCCCAGUAGAUGCCAUGUUGGACAAAGCCUGGAUACGUUCCAUGUGGCACAUUCCAGCAAAUGUUUGCUGAUCUCUGCUUAUUUUUGUUCACAGAAUGCUAUCGAGAACUGUUGGAAAAUUUUCAGUUGUGGAGGGAAGCAUGGUUUCAUUUUCCUUUUUCAAAAGAUGGCUUUAGCAGCUGUGAGGAGAAUGGGGGCAGGAGCAGAGACCACUAGAGGCUUUGGAGGUCACUGUGGGGAGACACUGGGGCCUGGACUCACAGAGAGCAGUAAGCAUCUCGUCUCCUAAUGGGCCAGCCCUUCCACAGCGAUGACAACAUGAGCCUGUAUUUCUCCUGAAAAGACCCCUGUCCUUCCACACAGUGUCGUCCAUUUUUCAGUAGAAAAAGAUGUCUUGAGGUUUCCCGUCCAAUUAAUCAUCUUGAGAGGCCUUUGAUGUACUUCCGCCCAGUUUGGGGCCUUCACAGAAACCUCUGGAACUUUGGUAUCUGUUUCAGUUUCCAGCUAUCUUGAAAGUGCCCCAGGACCUCAGCCCGAUAAGGAACCUGCUGUGGAGGCUGCUAUCGUGUGCCAGUUUCACCAGGGGACAAGCUGGCAGAACUGUAACACACCUGGGUGCAAACACUGUAAAGCAAACUCAAGCAUCAGGCAGGAGUUGGACUAGAUGACAUUCACGGGGCUGAGUGAAUACCAACGUACCUGAGCAUCUGGGCUCUUGAGAGAAAAACACUGGAUCACCACCACCACCAGGAGUUUUCUGAUUUCUCAUCUCAAUCGGGCCCUCCUUGUACGAAUCUUUGAUCAGCUCUCUCAUCCUCUCAAUGACUAUUCCUGAGCUUCAUUUAACUCUUGAAGGUCCCACCUAGGAUUGUGAGACAAAAUACGGAAUGGCCACUUAAAUCGGAUUUUAGAUAAAUGAAAAUAAAUACAUUUUAGUGUAUCUCCAAUGCAAUAUUUCAUAUGUCCUCUGUUUUCAUUUUCUACAUCUGACAACACAACUCGUAAGCCCUCUUCCUCUUGCAGCCAACUCUAUCUCAUGGUAAAACUGGAAGUCAUUAGCAGAAACUCCCUCAAUUUCCUGUCAUCUCCUCUUCAGAUGCACCUCCCUUAAGGCACACCCUCACCUGGCUCUCUCCCAGCCAAGGACUAACCCGUUGGAGACCAGCCUCUUUCCCUGGGCAUCUCCCAUGUGGAGGUCCUGACACAAAAGAGCAGAGCCAGAGGUUGUCCUGCAGGAUGAAGACGUCCACAGAGCCCAGGACUGGAUGCAUGUGUUUAGUGAAGAAGAAGCAAAUUUGAAAUAUUUGGAGCCAGAAGCUAGCCUGACUGAAUUUUACAGCUCAUGUAGGAAAGAAACCUGAUAAUUUUCCUAGAUCUGACAACAAUCUGAAACCCAUCAAUAGUUUUUGCGAUGCUGAAGAAAAUCUUUCUGAACUAUCCAUUCUUGAAAGUUUCAAACUAAACUAGAGGAAAGACUGAAUUACCUUUCUAUUUAGUCUAUGGAAAAUGAUGAUUGCAAUAUCAUCACAUUGCAAUAUAUGAAGUGGGGAAUAAAAUCUGUACAGUCAAAAAUUUUAGGGGAAAAAUGUUUUAGAGAUACUUCAAAUAAUUUGCUUUUUAAAUCACAUGACUUUCUAGAUUUUGAGAUGUUUGCAGUGUUUGUCUAUUUUCAAUCUUUUGUAAUUACUGUCAUUUCCUUUUUCUUUGGUAACUUAUUUUGUUUAUAACUUUGUAAAUGCAAACUUUUGUAAAAAUGGCCCCCACUAUUGUGUGGACUCCAAGACCCAGCCAAACCUGGAUCUAUUGCUAUGGGGCAGAACACUAGACUGGAGUGUACCCCAGUCAUUGUCAAUCGAGGUGAAAAAUUCACAGAGCCCAGAGGUGAGAAGGGGAGCAGACAAAGCACCUAGAAAAUUCCUUGAAGGAAAGAGUCAGUGAACUUGAUAAGUUCCAGAAAGGAAAAGCAAAUGCCCUCAGCAGCUCCUGACAUUUUCCUGGAGUUCCUUUCCCUGACAAGUCAGGCUCAGUUGGCGAGCAAUGGCUCCUCUUCCUUGGGUCAGCCCUGGAGUCAUUCUCUAGGAUCCCUUCCCUCUUAUCUACACAAUUAAAACUUCAUUGCCUGGGCUCUUCUAUUCCAUGUUUCUAAUCCACAUCUACUGUCUAAUGGCUGUCAACUCUCUGUCUCUGGGAGUCUAACUAGGCUCUGUGAGACUUUUCCUAAGCUUCAUGCUCAGGGGCACUCUUCUGAACAUGUUGCCAGCCCACAGCAGCCCCUCCAGUUGCCAUUUUGUACAGUGUGAUCCUGCCUCCUGGCCACAAGUCUGUUGGGUGGGGUCCAGGCUGGGCCAGUCAGCACCUCCUUUCCUAUCAUUGUGGAACUGGGGAGAGAUGGCCAAAGAUCCACUGACUUUCUUCAGAGGGCUGGAAAGGGUAUGGUUGAGCUUGGGGCGAGCUCCUCCCUCAGCAGAGCCGGAAGGGUCGUGUGCAGGGAAGGGGAAUGAGCUGACUGACAUUCAAGGAGGAGAUGAACCUCCCCAGCAAGAACAGUUGCCCGGCUUUCUAGGUCUUUGUGUCAGAACCUCCCCAAGACCCCUCCGACAAGACACCUCGUAUUCCCAGAAUAAAUCUCCCAUGCUAGCUUCUGAUUUCUGACACUAAUAACCAGACAGCUACUUUUCACUGUUACAUCUAGCCUCUGGGACAUACCACAAACUCAGAUUAAUCAACCCAAAUGCACUCACAGAGAGGAUUCUCUUUUUUCAAACAGAAGCAAUCCAGCUACAUUUGAGCACAUUUGAGAAUUUUUUUCUAGGUAGAAUUUUUGGAGCUUACUUCAAUAUGAUUAGAGAAAACUUUAUUAUUAAAUAAGCUUCCUUACAGUCCUUUGAAUUCCAGUCCAGCUGUUCCUUUACAGACACAGAACUUAUAAAUUGGGUUUCUCUAUAGGAGAUGGAGCUUAUUCCAACUUUUCCUGGAAUGCUAGAAUGAGUUGCAAAUUGAUAAAAAUUAUCCUUAUGAGGUUUACCAAUAAUGACUACAGGAAAGAUUUUAAACACGGCAUAUUACAUUGGAUUAUAUGCAAAAAAAGUGCCUUUAUUUGAAUUUUUAAAGAGUGGCCAUUGCCUCAAGAGGCAACAACAUGCUGUUGUUUUGAUAAGCAUCAUUUUCUAAAAUGACUGUGCAUCUUAAAGAACUUAAUAAUAGGAGUUCCCAUUGUGGUGCAGCAGAAACGAAUCCGACUAGGAAC